ACACAAUGUGCCAUCCUGACAAGGCUUUUACUUCUGAUAAGCUCCAAUGUGUGUUUAAUGAAUACAAAGCCGCGGUCUGGGUGCCGCCUCGGCCGCGGCCGCUCUCCCGCGCUCCUUUGCCAGAAGCUGGCGGAGAGAAUUUACAUUUAAAGAUUAGCAGAGUGAGAAAGAGAAAUCUGCCUUUUGUUGUGUGGGGUGAGGAGGAGGCAUCUACCCCUGGCCUUGACGCUAUCUCCCAUCACCUCUGCUAUCCAGACAGGACUCACCGAGAAAAGAUUGAUCUCUGGGCUGGUGAACAUAAUCUCUGUCCCAGUCAGAAAAGGAGAGAGGAAAUUAGCAGAGCGAUUGGUGGAGAAUGAUAUCUGUCAAAAGAAACACUUGGAGAGCACUGAGUUUAGUAAUAGGUGACUGCCGGAAAAAAGGGAACUUUGAAUAUUGUCAAGGCGCACGCGCCCAGCACCCUGCCUCCGGCGAUGCCGCCCCAGCCCCUCUGAUGGCCCUCCUCUCUGCUGCCACUCAUUCCAGAACAGGAGGCAUGAGCCCGGAACGCGCUUGCUUUUAGGAGACAGCCACUUUCUGUGUGGUACGCUGGAUUCAAGGAUGCCUGAUCGUACUGAGAAGCACUCCACAAUGCCAGACUCACCUGUGGAUGUGAAGACGCAAUCUAGGCUGACUCCUCCAACAAUGCCACCUCCCCCAACUACUCAAGGAGCUCCAAGAACCAGUUCAUUUACACCGACAACGUAACUCCACUUUGACAAUUGAAGAAUUUCAUUCCAAACUGCAAGAAGCUACUAACUUCCCACUGAGACCUUUUGUCAUCCCAUUUUUGAAGGCCAACUUGCCCCUGCUGCAGCGUGAGCUCCUCCACUGCGCAAGACUGGCCAAACAGAACCCUGCCCAGUACCUCGCCCAGCAUGAACAGCUGCUUCUGGAUGCCAGCACCACCUCACCUGUUGACUCCU
rnacentral:lncRNA from 10 species